GGUAAAAGUCCUGUAGUCGAAAGUUUAUUCUCUCUUGAGUGGAUCCUGAGUACGACGGAGCACGUGGAAUUCCGUCGGAAUCCGGGAGGACCAUCUCCCAAGGCUAAAUACUCUCUAGUGACCGAUAGUGAACCAGUACCGUGAGGGAAAGGUGAAAAGUACCCCGGAAGGGGAGUGAAAGAGAACUUGAAACCGUGUGCUUACAAGUAGUCAGAGCCCGUUAAUGGGUGAUGGCGUGCCUUUUGUAGAAUGAACCGGCGAGUUACGAUCUGAUGCAAGGUUAAGCAGCAAAUGCGGAGCCGCAGCGAAAGCGAGUCUGAACAGGGCGUUGAGUAUUUGGUCGUAGACCCGAAACCAGGUGAUCUACCCUUGGUCAGGUUGAAGUUCAGGUAACACUGAAUGGAGGACCGAACCGACUUACGUUGAAAAGUGAGCGGAUGAACUGAGGGUAGCGGAGAAAUUCCAAUCGAACCUGGAGAUAGCUGGUUCUCUCCGAAAUAGCUUUAGGGCUAGCCUCAAGUGAUGAUUGUUGGAGGUAGAGCACUGUUUGGACGAGGGGCCCCUCUCGGGUUACCGAAUUCAGACAAACUCCGAAUGCCAAUCAAUUUAACUUGGGAGUCAGAACGUGGGUGAUAAGGUCCAUGUUCGAAAGGGAAACAGCCCAGACCACCAGCUAAGGUCCCAAAAUAUAUGUUAAGUGGCAAAGGAUGUGGUAUUGCCCAGACAACUAGGAUGUUGGCUUAGAAGCAGCCAUCAUUUAAAGAGUGCGUAAUAGCUCACUAGUCGAGUGACACUGCGCCGAAAAUGUACCGGGGCUAAACAUAUUACCGAAGCUGUGGAUUGUCCGUAGGACAAUGGUAGGAGAGCGUUCUAAGUGCGUCGAAGCAUGAUCGCAAGGACAUGUGGAGCGCUUAGAAGUGAGAAUGCCGGUGUGAGUAGCGAAAGAUGGGUGAGAAUCCCAUCCACCGAUUGACUAAGGUUUCCAGAGGAAGGCUCGUCCGCUCUGGGUUAGUCGGGUCCUAAGUCGAGGCCGACAGGCGUAGACGAUGGAUAACAGGUUGAUAUUCCUGUACCACCAUUU
rnacentral:rRNA from 1 species